UAGGGAAUCUUCGGCAAUGGACGAAAGUCUGACCGAGCAACGCCGCGUGAGUGAAGAAGGUUUUCGGAUCGUAAAACUCUGUUGUUAGAGAAGAACAAGGACGUUAGUAACUGAACGUCCCCUGACGGUAUCUAACCAGAAAGCCACGGCUAACUACGUGCCAGCCGCCGCGGUAAUACGUAGGUGGCAAGCGUUGUCCGGAUUUAUUGGGCGUAAAGCGAGCGCAGGCGGUUUCUUAAGUCUGAUGUGAAAGCCCCCGGCUCAACCGGGGAGGGUCAUUGGAAACUGGGAGACUUGAGUGCAGAAGAGGAGAGUGGAAUUCCAUGUGUAGCGGUGAAAUGCGUAGAUAUAUGGAGGAACACCAGUGGCGAAGGCGGCUCUCUGGUCUGUAACUGACGCUGAGGCUCGAAAGCGUGGGGAGCAAACAGG
rnacentral:rRNA from 1 species